CCAGUUUGGGAGAUCCUUUGGAGAUCUCAAGUGAAGUGCACUUUUUCUUUUUGGCAAGCAAUUCUUUUUCAACUGACUGCAAAAGGGAGGGAAAGGUUUGCAUCAGAGGAGAGGAGGGUGAAAGGUUUGGUCCAAUGGUGAUCCUGAGGGGUUUGUAUGGGGAGCCAUCCUGAAAACUGCUCUCAAUGCAUCCGGUGGAGAAAUCGGUGUGAAGUGACACUUUUAUUUGCACCAAGAUUUGUCGUCCCUGCAAGAAAGAGAAGAAGAUUUAUGAAGCAAGACGACAGGUGGAAGCCUAGAGCAGAAUCCUCUUAUUUUAUUUAUUUGCAUUACCAGAACUGGAAGUUGCUCAGAUUGAUGAAAUUGGGCCAAUACCGGUUUAGCUCAGUCAUCAGAUCCUGCUGGGAGGAAAAACAGCAGAAGUUGAGAUACUCUUGGU